CAGAAUCGCUGCCGCUCUAGCCGAGAGAUCUGGAUUCUAGAUGUACUGGACCCCAAGCUGAGAGAAUUGAGGUGAUUUUCAUAAAGCUACAUCAGUAGGUUUCCAGCUUGAACCACAAAGCAAAGUCCUAGCCAGUGUGAAGGUAUUUACGAGACUGUCGGCUUGCAACACUCGGAGAAAAAGUUCCCAUACUAACUUGCUCACUGCCUGGCAAGCCCUGGAUCCAUUUCUCCCUCCUGUCCUGGAGUCCCUGAGAAUCCCUCCUCUCGAGCAAUGUUCUAGCUUCUUGGGCCCCUUACAUCCUGCAGAGAAGCAAAGAUGGCCUGGCUGGAGUUCUGGUCUUACUUCUGUCCCUGAUACCCAGAGAACUUGUUUUUGCCUUCAAGCCUGCCUUGGGGAUUCUUGGAGUGGGACCUGCAGUCUGGUAAACAGCUGUGGUCAUGACCCACAGGAUGGCUCACAGGGCUCCAGGCCCCCACAAGAAAACUAUUGUUCAACGGAGACUCAGGAAGUGGCUUUCAUCGUCUUGACAGUUUCUGAAUGUGGCAAGGGGUGGCUACUCUACUGGGAUAAGUAGUUCUCUAGGCAGUGGCAUCUAGUUCUUUUUUUACAACCCCCUGUGUAGAAGCCAAAUGAAUAAAGCAAAACUCUCAGUAUGCAGUCAUAAUUUGUCUAGCCUGGAGCCUGUCCAGGAG
rnacentral:lncRNA from 1 species